rnacentral:tRNA from 1 species
UGGCUGAGUGGUAAAGCAUUUGGCUUCCAAACUGGAGGUCCUGGGUUCGAAUCCUGG